GACGAACGCUGGCGGCGUGCCUAAUACAUGCAAGUAGAACGCUGAAGGAGGAGCUUGCUUCUCUGGAUGAGUUGCGAACGGGUGAGUAACGCGUAGGUAACCUGCCUGGUAGCGGGGGAUAACUAUUGGAAACGAUAGCUAAUACCGCAUAAUAGUAGAUGUUGCAUGACAUUUGCUUAAAAGGUGCAAUUGCAUCACUACCAGAUGGACCUGCGUUGUAUUAGCUAGUUGGUGAGGUAACGGCUCACCAAGGCGACGAUACAUAGCCGACCUGAGAGGGUGAUCGGCCACACUGGGACUGAGACGCGGCCCAGACUCCUACGGGAGGCAGCAGUAGGGAAUCUUCGGCAAUGGACGGAAGUCUGACCGAGCAACGCCGCGUGAGUGAAGAAGGUUGUCGGAUCGUAAAGCUCUGUUGUAAGAGAAGAACGAGUGUGAGAGUGGAAAGUUCACACUGUGACGGUAUCUUACCAGAAAGGGACGGCUAACUACGUG
rnacentral:rRNA from 1 species